UACGGGGGGGGCAAGCGUUGUUCGGAAUUACUGGGCGUAAAGGGCUCGUAGGCGGCCAACUAAGUCGGACGUGAAAUCCCUAGGCUCAACCUAGGAACUGCGUCUGAUACUGGAUGGCUUGAAUCCGGGAGAGGGAUGCAGAAUUCCAGGUGUAGCGGUGAAAUGCGUAGAUAUCUGGAGGAAUACCGGUGGCGAAGGCGGCAUCCUGGACCGGCAUUGACGCUGAGGAGCGAAAGCCAGGGGAGCAAAGCGGG
rnacentral:rRNA from 1 species